rnacentral:rRNA from 1 species
YCGACGAUUCCUACGGGAGGCAGCAGUCGGGAAUAUUGGACAAUGGAGGAAACUCUGAUCCAGCAAUGCCGCGUGUGUGAUGAAGGCCCUAGGGUUGUAAAGCACUUUCAACGGUGAAGAUGAUGACGGUAGCCGUAGAAGAAGCCCCGGCUAACUUCGUGCCAGCAGCCGCGGUAAUACGAAGGGGGCGAGCGUUGUUCGGAAUUAUUGGGCGUAAAGGGCGCGCAGGCGGUUUGGAUAGUUAGACGUGAAAGCCCUGGGCUUAACCUAGGAACUGCGUUUAAUACUGCCAAACUAGAGAACUAGAGAGGAUAGCGGAACUCCCAGUGUAGAGGUGAAAUUCGUAGAUAUUGGGAAGAACAUCAGUGGCGAAAGCGGCUGUCUGGCUAGUUUCUGACGCUGAGGCGCGAAAGCGUGGGGAGCAAACAGGAUUAGAUACCCUGGUAGUCCACGCCGUAAACGAUGUGUGCUAGAUGUUGGAAGGUUACCUUGCAGUGUCGCAGCUAACGCGUUAAGUACACCGCCUGGGAAGUACGGUCGCAAGAUUAAAACUCAAAGGAAUUGACGG